AUUGAACGCUGGCGGCAGGCCUAACACAUGCAAGUCGAGCGAGCGGCGGACGGGUUGGCAAUGUAUGGGCAUCUGCUCGAGGGAGGCGGAUAACUACUGGAAACGGUGGCUAAUACCGCCUACUAUCGGAUGAACCCAUGUGGGAUUAGCUAGUUGGUGGGGUAAAGGCUAACCUAGGCGACGAUCUGUAACUGGUCUGAGAGGAUGACCAGUCACACUGGAACUGAGACACGGCCCAGACUCCUACGGGAGGCAGCAGUGGGGAAUAUUGGACAAUGGGCGCAAGCCUGAUGCAGCCAUGCCGCGUGUGUGAAGAAGGCCUUCGGAUUGUAAAGUACUUUCAGCUGGGAGGCGUUACCAACAGAAGAAGCACCGGCUAACUCCGUGCCAGCAGCCGCGGUAAUUC
rnacentral:rRNA from 1 species